rnacentral:lncRNA from 10 species
CCAACCAUCCAAGAUUAUUUUGAUUAUCUACUAUCUUUCAGUUACAAUAGGAGGAGCUGGGUACAAAGGGAAACCCAGAAGACGUGGGGAAAAUGCUGGCCACCAGGAUUCCAUAGCAGAGACAGUCCAUCUUCCAGCCCUCCAGAUGUCAAUGUUGGGGCCAGCAGACAGGAGUCAUCGAAUAAGUUCUUGGGAGGGGACAACCCUUCUUCAAUCCACUCCAGGUGACAAGUGGUUCCUUUGGUCUAGGCAGGAGAUGGGCUCUGAAAGAAGAUACCUGGCUGGGCUCCAGAGAGUAUACCCACACUUCAGGCAGGAGGUAGGGAGGAUGGGGCCCAGCCAUGCUGUCUCCUUCUUUCAGAAAAAUAAUGCUUUUAUGCAGGUCUCCCCCAGAAACCUCUGCUUAGUUUUCUUUGGACAGAACUGGACCAUGUGCCUACUCCUCAUUGCAAGGAAGCCUGGGAAAAAAGGAGCAGGAUUAUCAUGAUUGCUUAGACCAAAGGUUGCAAACUUUUUCUGGAAAGUUGUAGACAGGAAACAUUUUAGGUUUUGUGGGUCAUACAGUCUCUGUUGCAACUACUCAACUCUGCCUUUGUCACGCAAAAACAGUCAUAGAUAAUAUAUAAACAAACGUAUGUGGUUGUAUUUAAAUAAAACUUUAUUUAUGAACACUUAAACUUGAAUUUCAGCUGGGUGCAGUGGCUCGCACCUGUAAUCCCAGCAGUUUGGGAGGCCGAGGCAGGAGGAUCACUUGAGGCCAGGAGUUUGAGACUAACCUAGGCAACAUAGCAAUACCCUGUCUCUAUAAAAAAAUAAAAAUUAUACAUUGAAAUUUUAAAAAUCUUCAAUAUCAUAUAAUUUUCAUGUGUCACAAAAUAUUAUUUUUAUGUUUUCAACCAUUUGAAACGUGUUAAAAACCAUUUUAGCUCAUGUACCAUGUAAGAACAGGGGGCAUUCAGAUUUGGCACUCAGGCCGUAGUUUGCUGACCCUUGGCUUAGACCAGUCAUAGUCCAUUGCCUGGAGCUGGGUUCGCUGUCACUGUAAGGAAGGGUGUGUAUGUGGCAGAAGGUGUAGCAUAAGGGGGGCUGUGGGAGAUGUAUGACACAGGCAACUAACAGUAUUCGUCAACAGCAGAGUUUGAAUCCAAAGCAUCCACUCAGCCUGUCAUGGGGGUGCACGCUUGUAUCCCAGCUACUCAGGCGUCUGAGGCAGGAGGAUCGCUCGAGACCAGGAGUUCAACACCAGCCUGGGCAACAAAGCAAGACCCCCAUCUCAAAACAAAACUGAAACCA